UUUUUAUUAUAACGGCCCAAGAAAAAGUUUAAGGAGGGUAAUAACCCCUCAUUUCCUCAGUCAGCAACCAAACGAGCCUAUGGGUGAGGGGAGGGUUUCUUGUGAAACCCUAGUGCCGCCUCCCCUUUCUCUUUCCUCUCUUCUCGUCACCGUUGCCUGAAAUGGCAAAGUACAGUGUACAAUCACUUUAUGCAGUCGUGGUUCAAUGAUUUGAGGCAAUACAUUAAAUAUUUGCCUCCUCUCUCUACCAAACGCAACCCAAAUGAGUUGAGGAGCAAGGAAGCAUCCAAGUCCAUUCUCGACAAGGUUGCACCUCAAAAAGGUAUUUUUUUUUUCUUUAGUUAAUUUUUCAGUAAUUAUGUGUUAAUUCAUUGUUUUAUGUGAUUUAUGUCUUAUGUAGUUAAUUAGUUUAAUCUUGCUUUAGUGUAGCCUAGGUCUGUUUUGAGCUAUUAAUUAUGCCCUUUAAUUGUAAUUGGCUUAGAUUAUUUACUUAUAAGUUAUACUUAGUUGUUUAGUUUAAGGUAAUUGUUAGCUCAUAUUAAUCCUGUUUUUGCCAGUUAAGUAGGAUUAAAGAUGUAGAAUCCCUAAUCAAUCCUGUCUAGUAUGCUUAUCUGUUCAAGAUAGUUUGUAUGUAAUAUAACAUGAUUAAGCAUUUGCCUCACCUAAAAUUGCUAAAUCCCUGUUAAUAUGUGUAGUCUAUUGAUUCAUUUAGGGCUUAAACUGGUAACUAUAUAAAUAUCUACUUGUGUUGUGAAAUUAAGCUAGACUUAAACUGUUUAGUCUUGUCUCUGUCUUUUUUUAAAUCUACCUAAGUGGUUGAGUUCAUGACUUUGCUAUACAUUGAUGUUGAGUACAUAAUAUUCCAUUGUGGAGUCUGAAGAAUCAUUAUUGCCUUAAUCUGUGCAUUCUUUUUCCAAAAAAAUCAUGUCACUAGAUUCAAAACUACAACCAUGUUUUCAAAAUGCCUCAUGUAUUUCCCACAUAAGUAAAGUCCCUAGCUUAUUUAACUAAGUCUUUGUUGGUAUUGCUUGAUGUUGUCAGAUGUUUUGAAUCACAUAAAACACUUGUGUUACCUUUCAAAACACUUUUGAAACUAAAAAAUGAAAAUGAUGUCCUGUGAGUUUUGAAGUUUAGAUUUGUGUUUAAAUAUAAGUGAUUUAAAGUUAGUGUCCCCUUACUAAGCUGAUCUUGUUUGUUUGAAACAAUCCGUGGACAACAACUCUCGCUUAUGCAAUAUUUGGAAUCUGUUAUGAGUUAAGAGGCUAAAGUCUGGGAUUUUUAAUGAAAUAUGAAGUUGGAAAGAGGAUAAACAUGCUAAUCAAGAUUUCGUCUAUUGUAAAUAACUUGGUAGUUGUUUUAUUUGGUCUCCAUAUGUUAGUUUAUGUGAAUCUGAGGUCCGAAUCAUGUUAUUUAAGAUCAUUAGUUUAAUUUGUCAAACUUGUUCAUGUCUAUGUGUUACAUUUAGAAUUGGGAAGACUUUAGUAAAAUGAUUUAGGCAUUUAAACCAUUUCAAAAGAUAGGCUGUCUCUUUUUAUAAAGGUCUUAAAGUUAGUAUAAAAUUGGUUAUGGACUGUUGUGCUUGAACUGUGAAGUGCCAUUUUGCUGAGGUUGACUUUUUCCUAAAUUAUGUAUCUUCUCUGCCUCUAUGUGUUGCAAAAAAUCAUGUGUUAGGUAGGGAGUAUAUGAAGUAUACAUUCUGCAUACACCAGGGUGUAUACAAGAGGUAUACUUCAUAUACCCCUUUGGAUGAAUGCUGGAAUUUGUCAUGAGAACAAAGAUUUGGGCCAAAUUUACCCCUCUUGAAUGUUUUUGUCAUAUGGGCCUAUACAUGAAUUAUGGUUUGGCUUAUGAAUUUUCCUUGAUUGUUAUUUGAUAUUGGGCCUCCGCCUCAAGCUAUUAUAUCUCCUCUGCUUUGUUUUCUUUAUGUAGCUGCUUGAUUUCCUCUCUGUAUUUUACUUGCUUAAGUAUGAAUUGUGUGUGCCUUAGUCCAAAUACUUAGACGAAUACUAAUCUUUAUCCCUUUGUGUUCCAUGUGAAUUCAACUUGGGCCAUUCGGCCACCCUUGCAUCAAACCUGUUGGGCUGGAGGGCCAACCCCUUUCUUGAUCGAGUCCGAAGAAGGAGAAAUGGAAGCUAAUAUGUUGAAGGCCCAGUCAUGGGUGAAAAUGGCAUUGAUGGGUUUGGGUCGGCCUAUCAGUUAAAGAUCUACUUUCUUCACUUCUUUACUUCAUAUAUAUCUUGUAUGUAUAUAUAUUGUUAUGUCCUGAACGUGUAAAUAAUGAACCCCUUGUGUAUGUUAGAACUUAGGAAAACUUUAGUGUUCUAGGAAGUCGCCAAACCAUUUUAAAUUUGGACAAUAAACUGCUUUGCAUGGAAAGAAAAAAAAGGACAAGACUUAGCUCGA